AUGCACACGCAUACGCUGCGGCUCCUGUGUUCCGUCGACGCCUGCCGGCGACUGCUCGUUACGGCUUGGUCGCC
rnacentral:sRNA from 1 species